UUUAAUUGUGUUCUGCACAAUGGCAGCACUUACGAGGAAAAAUCCCAUUACGUAACUGUGUUUGCAUUUCUACCACAGUGAUACUUAGCCAAGAAUCCCUUACUAUGUGGUCCCUGGAGAGCAAGAACAACUCACAGGACUGAUGGGUCAUGCUUCACCAGGUAUCCUGACCAUGAUAGUUCCUCUGAGACAUUAUUGAAUUACAAGGUCUGAGAAGUCCUGAGCACCAGCUAACAGAUCCUUGAGAAGAGGGUCAAGACACAAAGGGAUGUGUUCUUCACUGAAGUCAUGUGAAGCAGUGGAAAGAUGUUCUCCCCUUUCUCUUGGGGAAUUCUUUAGAGAAGGGGAAGGAAGGGGGUUGCUACAAAAAGAAAAAUGCAGUCCAGAAUUGCCUGGUUACUUUGACAUUAGAAUACUGGUGCUGCAGACGCUGUCAGGGCUGAUCUAAGCUGCGGCUUGACUUGAUUUGCCUGGAAAUCUGCCAGUGGCAAGACCACCUCCCGAGCUGAAGUUUAAGGAAAGUGGAGAGAAAGGUUUCCAGAGAAAAGUAAAAUGAGAUUAAAAUGAAGAAUAAAUCAAGGUGAAAGAACUCUCUUCUUUCUUUC
rnacentral:lncRNA from 1 species